rnacentral:rRNA from 1 species
AUUGAACGCUGGCGGCAGGCCUAACACAUGCAAGUCGAGCGAGCGGCGGACGGGUGAGUAAUGUCUGGGAAACUGCCUGAUGGAGGGGGAUAACUACUGGAAACGGUAGCUAAUACCGCAUACCAUCAGAUGUGCCCAGAUGGGAUUAGCUGGUCGGUGGGGUAAAGGCUCACCUAGGCGACGAUCCCUAGCUGGUCUGAGAGGAUGACCAGCCACACGGGAACUGAGACACGGUCCAGACUCCGAAGGGAGGCAGCAGUGGGGAAUAUUGCACAAUGGGCGCAAGCCUGAUGCAGCCAUGCCGCGUGUAUGAAGAAGGCCUGCGGGUUGUAAAGUACUUUCAGCGGGGAGGCGUUACCCGCAGAAGAAGCACCGGCUAACUCCGUGCCAGCCGCCGCGGUAAUAC